AGCGAACGUUAGCGGCGCGCUUAACACAUGCAAGUCGCACGAGAAAGGGCUUCGGCCCCGGUAAAGUGGCGCACGGGUGCGUAACACGUAGGCUAUCUUCCCUUGAGCGGGGGAUAACGUUUCGAAAGAGACGCUAAUACCGCAUAAGACCACGACGGGUUCGCUCGUUGCGGUCAAAGCUGGCCUCUUCAUGAAAGCUAGCACUCAAGGACGAGCCUGCGGCCCAUCAUGCUAGUUGGUAGGGUAAUGGCCUACCAAGGCGAAGACGGGUAGCUGGUCUGAGAGGAUGAUCAGCCACACUGGAACUGAAACACGGUCCAGACUCCUACGGGAGGCAGCAGUGGGGAAUAUUGGACAAUGGGCGAAAGCCUGAUCCAGCGACGCCGCGUGAGUGAUGAAGGCCUUCGGGUUGUAAAGCUCUGUUGAGGGAGAAGAAAACAGUUAGAGCGAAUAGGUCUAACUCUUGACGGUAUCCCUUUAGAAAGCACCGGCUAACUCUGUGCCAGCCGCCGCGGUAA
rnacentral:rRNA from 1 species